rnacentral:lncRNA from 1 species
AUCUGAGUUCAUUGGAAGCUGAAAUUGCCUGGUCCACGGCAGAUGCUUGACUGGUGACAGCUUCCUUUCCCAGUGAGGCCCAGGGAAGUAGGCACAGUGCUUGGCACCCUGCAAGCAUGCGACACAGCUUCACAAAAUACCCACAGGGAGCCAGGAGCACCGCUUGAAUUUUAUGGAUGACAAAAUUGUGGUUCAAGGAAGCCUCCCAAAGUGCUUGGAUUACAGAUGUGAGCCACCGCACAUGGCCAUGUACAAUUCUUGAAGAAGCUGAAACUCAUCUUUCUUUCUCGGUAUAAGAAAACUCAGGAUAUGUUUGGACAUCCCCUCCCAUCUGCCCUCCCAGCCUCCUCUUCUCCAGGCUGAACCAGAUCCUGCUGCAUCUUUCUCAAAGACUCUCUUACAUCCUCAUUAUGGUUUCUGCCCCAGUCCUCCAUGCUUCUCUGAAGUUUAGAGUCAAAAUGCCCUUUUUUGCUUUAGGGGUGAGACCUUCUCUAGCACCGUGUGUCUACAACACAGAGAGGGCAAACAGAGAUAGUGCUUGGUAUUUUAUUUUUAAAAUUUUUAAUCUUGAUUAUAUUUUGCAAUGUUUAUACCAUUGCACAACACACGGAAGCAUUAGUCACAAUUUAUAUAGCUGAUUUCAUGGAGCUGAAUUCUAUGGUGUUUAUAGCCGUUGAGUGUCUUCUCCCAGAAAUUGGAAAGAUGCCCCAUUUGCUGUAACACACACGACCUCCACCCCAUUCUUUUCCUUUGUAACCCAAACCACAAUGUGUAAUUGUGUGUUUAUUUUGUGUUUAAUGUUUAUCUCUUCGCCCAGGCUCUAAGGCUCUAUGAGGGCAGGGAUCACAUCUGUUUAGUUCACCCAGAUUUCAUUAUAUAUCCAGCAUUCUACACUCUGUAACUGCUUAGUCUCAACUCUGACCACACAUUAAGUCAUCAAGGGAGUUAACAGAAAAAAAAAAAAAACAAUAAACAAGCAAAAUGUUU